UCUGGCGUAUGUGGAGGAAUAAGCUGACCCCAUGCCGAACUCAGAAGUGAAACGCCGUAGCGCCGAUGGUAGUGUGGGGUCUCCCCAUGCGAGAGUAGGGAACUGCCAGGC
rnacentral:rRNA from 1 species